GCCGGCGGCGUGGCGUUGUGGUAGCGUCCCGAGGCAGCCCCCAUUAUUGGGAACUUUUCCUAGAGAAAGUUCUACCACUGGGAGGUCGUGAGUUCGAUUCUCACCACUGGCA
rnacentral:tRNA from 1 species